GCUCCGGUGGUGUAGCCCGGUCAAGCAUAGCGGCCUCUCGAGCCGUUGACCCGGGUUCAAAUCCCGGCCGGAGCA
rnacentral:tRNA from 1 species